GGUACCCACUGUUGAGGUACAAAACCUUCUCGUUUCUGGUAGAAGGAAAGAGGCUCUACGGUGUGCACAAGAUAAUUUUUAGGAUGCAAAUAAGCUUAGAAAAGACUGGAUUUGGGCCUGUUUAUAAGAACUCAUGUAGUGCAGCUGUUAGAACAUCACACAACCCUGCAGCAGAAAGAUUUCCAUGGUUAUAUCGGCUCUUGUACCUAAUGCAAACAUUUUUUCCUGGUAAUGGGCGCUCUAUUUCGGCCUUGAAUAAGAAGCUAAAAAAGGUGAGCUCUAUGGUUUUGGUGUACUAAAAUGAUUUUUGUUCUUUGCCAAUCUUUUAAUUUUAUUUCAUGUGUACUUGUGAGAAAC